GUCUGUUGUUAUGCUGCAUGUGACUGACAAACACGACACGCGUUCAGGUGCACACUAUUACCGUGUGCAAACAAACACCGCUGUUUGUGUGCAAACACACAAGCAUCGCUGUUUGCGCGGGACCGCCCCGGAGAGCCGCGUCCCACCAGCCGGCCCGCAGGCCGGCGGCUUUGCGUGGCCUUGCGGCCGAUUUGUUAAUGAUCCUUCCGCAGGUUCACCUACGGAAA
rnacentral:misc_RNA from 1 species